rnacentral:rRNA from 1 species
UACGGAGGGUGCGAGCGUUAAUCGGAUUUACUGGGCGUAAAGCGCGCGUAGGCGGUUUGGUAAGUCGGGUGUGAAAUCCCAGGGCUCAACCCUGGAACUGCACUCGAUACUGCCUCACUAGAGUAUGACAGAGGAAAGUGGAAUUCCGGGUGUAGCGGUGAAAUGCGUAGAUAUCCGGAGGAACAUCAGUGGCGAAGGCGACUUUCUGGGUCAAUACUGACGCUCAGGUGCGAAAGCGUGGGUAGCAAACAGG